AUUUCACUACGCGAUUCACCCGGUUCGAACCCCGCCAGUAGUCAUACGCUUCGUCUUCGCGGAUUAAGCCACGCACGCUAAGGUUUAAUAGUUUAUAUCGAAACAGUAGAUCGGCUCCAUAAAAGAUUACUUACUUAAGUUCGCACCCAAUAUUUCGACCACUCGGAUAUCCGUGGUAAUUCUUCGGCUAAUACAUGUGUAUUUAUGUUUAUCGAAUUCAUAUGGAUUGCUUUAGAGUUAUAGGAAAAUUUUGAUUAUAUUAAUGUUUUUACAUUAGACGAACAUAGGGUUAUCAACUAUUAGGUCCCGUUGGUAGUGUAACGGACUACCAAGCCUAUGAUGGUUAUCGGGGGAUUAGCGUUCGAUCCCGGAGAGGCAGCUUUAAAGAUAGCUACCACAUCUAAGGAUGGCAGCAGGCGCGCAAAUUACCGAAUUUUUUAUAAAAGAGGUAGUAAAUAGACAUUUUGACAUAAAUUUAUUUAUGAUCGGGAUGAACAGCUUGGAAAGAUAGUUGUUGAACCAACU
rnacentral:rRNA from 1 species